rnacentral:rRNA from 1 species
UACAGAGGGUGCAAGCGUUAAUAGGAAUUACUGGGCGUAAAGCGCAUGUAGGUGGGAUAAUAAGUUUAAUGUGAAAGCCCUGGGCUUAACCCGGGAAUGGCGUUGAAGACUGUUAUUCUAGAGUUUGACAGAGGGUCGUGGAAUUUCCGGUGUAGCGGUGAAAUGCGUAGAGAUCGGAAAGAACACCAGUGGCGAAGGCGGCGACCUGGGUCGAGACUGACACUGAGGUGCGAAAGCGUGGGGAGCAAACAGG